GAACGCGAAGAACCUUACCAUCCUUUGACAUGGCGUGUUACCCAGAGAGAUUUGGGGUCCACUUCGGUGGCGCGCACACAGGUGCUGCAUGGCUGUCGUCAGCUCGUGUCGUGAGAUGUUGGGUUAAGUCCCGCAACGAGCGCAACCCACGUCCUUAGUUGCCAUCAUUCAGUUGGGCACUCCAGGGAGACUGCCGGUGAUAAGCCGCGAGGAAGGUGUGGAUGACGUCAAGUCCUCAUGGCCCUUACGGGAUGGGCUACACACGUGCUACAAUGGCGGUGACAGUGGGACGCGAAGGAGCGAUCUGGAGCAAAUCCCCAAAAGCCGUCUCAGUUCGGAUUGCACUCUGCAACUCGAGUGCAUGAAGGCGGAAUCGCUAGUAAUCGUGGAUCAGCAUGCCACGGUGAAUACGUUCCCGGGUCUUGUACACACC
rnacentral:rRNA from 1 species